rnacentral:rRNA from 1 species
AUUGAACGCUGGCGGCAGGCCUAACACAUGCAAGUCGAACGAGUGGUGGAUGGGUGAGUAAUGUCCGGGAAAUCGCCCGAUGGUGGGGGACAAACACUGGAAAUGGUAGCUUACACCGCAUACUAUCAGAUGCGCCCAGAUGGGCUGAGCUAGUUGGUGGGGUAAUGGCGCACCAAGGCGACGACCCCUAGCUGGUGUGAGAGGAUGACCAGCCACACUGGAACUGAGACACGGUCCAGAGUCCUACGGUAGGCAGCAGUGGGUAAUAUUGCACAAUGGGCGCAAGCCUGAUGCAGCCAUGCCGCGUGUAUGAAGGAGGCCUUCGGGUUGUAAAGUACUUUCAGCGGGGAGGCGUUACCCGCAGAAGAAGCACCGGCUAACUCCGUGCCAGCAGCCGCGGUAAUUC